rnacentral:rRNA from 1 species
UACGUAGGGGGCAAGCGUUGUCCGGAAUCAUUGGGCGUAAAGCGCGUGUAGGCGGCUUGGUAAGUCCGCUCUGAAAGCCCGGGGCUCAACCUCGGAACUGCCUUUGAUACUGCAAAUCUCGAGUCCGGAAGAGGUGAGUGGAAUUCCUAGUGUAGCGGUGAAAUGCGCAGAUAUCAGGAGGAACACCAAUUGCGAAGGCAGCUCGCUGGGACGUUACUGACGCUGAGACGCGAAAGCGUGGGGAGCAAACAGG